rnacentral:rRNA from 1 species
AGGGGUAUAGUAGCAAUACUAGAGACCGGCGCACGGGUGCGUAACGCGUAUGCAAUCUACCUUUUACAGAGGGAUAGCCCAGAGAAAUUUGGAUUAAUACCUCAUAGUGUUAUCGGAUGGCAUCAUUUGAUAACUAAAGUUCCAACGGUAAAAGAUGAGCAUGCGUCCUAUUAGCUAGAUGGUAAGGUAACGGCUUACCAUGGCUACGAUAGGUAGGGGUCCUGAGAGGGAGAUCCCCCACACUGGUACUGAGACACGGACCAGACUCCUACGGGAGGCAGCAGUGAGGAAUAUUGGACAAUGGGCGCAAGCCUGAUCCAGCCAUGCCGCGUGCAGGAAGACGCAUCUAUGGUGUGUAAACUGCUUUUGUACGGGAAGAAACACUCCUACGUGUAGGAGCUUGACGGUACCGUGAGAAUAAGGAUCGGCUAACUCCGUGCCAGCAGCCGCGGUAAUACGGAGGAUCCAAGCGUUAUCCGGAAUCAUUGGGUUUAAAGGGUCCGUAGGCGGUUUAGUAAGUCAGUGGUGAAAGCCCAUCGCUCAACGGUGGAACGGCCAUUGAUACUGCUAAACUUGAAUUAUUAGGAAGUAACUAGAAUAUGUAGUGUAGCGGUGAAAUGCUUAGAGAUUACAUGGAAUACCAAUUGCGAAGGCAGGUUACUACUAAUGGAUUAACGCUGAUGGACGAAAGCGUGGGUAGCGAACAGGAUUAGAU